CUCCACUCCAAACGUUUAACUAAAGAGAGAGGUAUGAGCCAGGGUCAAGACAUCUAGAAAGGGUGAGGAGAGGCUCUACCAGCAGGAAGCUCUUCCCACCCCAGUGUCUGAAGGGCAGCUGACAAGAGAAUCUCACUGGAUUUAUGGAGGAGAGACUACCUAAGGGGAGCAGUAAAAAUGAGAGUGCAGCUCUGCCCAGAUGGCCAUGUGAAGUUGGAGUGGGCCAGGAUUCCCCCAGUUGGACUCUCACAUACCUGUGGACCUCAAGUGCUCCUUCAUAUGUGUUUUCAAUGAACUUCAUCCAAACCACAUCAAAUGGCUGUGUAUAACACUAAGGAAAUGUCAUAUUGUCUCCUAGUCCUCUACCAUGUCUUUUACACACACUGAAGAUCAUGUGAAGAAAGAGAGAAGAUGGUCAUCUAUACACCAAGUUAAACGACCCUCAGAAGAAACCAACCCUAUGGACAACUUGAUCUUGAACUUCUAGCUUUCAGACCUCUAAGCAGAAAUUCAACCAAGUAACUG
rnacentral:lncRNA from 10 species